CCCUUCACACCUGAUAGAGCUGGAUCUCACAGGAAAUGAUCCUGGACAAUCAGGAGUGAAGCAGCUCAGUGAUUUACUACAGGAUAAACACUGUUCAUUAAAGACCAUCAGGUUUUUGAGAAGUCCUGCUGCAGAAGAAGCCUGUCAGUAUGUGACUGGAAUUGUGGGUAAAAACCCGUUACUCCUGAUAGAGCUGAAUCUGAGUGAACGUGAACUAGGAGACACAUGAGUGAAUCAGAUCUCUGCUCUACUGCAGGAUAAACACUGUAAACUCAACACACUGAUUCUGCGUGGAUGCAGUAUUACAG